rnacentral:rRNA from 1 species
CCUACGGGUGGCAGCAGUGGGGGAUAUUGCACAAUGGGGGAAACCCUGAUGCAGCGACGCCGCGUGUGGGAAGACGGACCUCUGGAUUGUAAACCACUGUCCCCAGGGACGAAAAUGACGGUACCUGGGGAGGAAGCUCCGCCUACCUACGUGCCAGCAGCCGCGGUAAUACGUAGGGAGCGAGCGUUGUCCGGAUUUCCUGGGUGUAAAGGGAGCGUAGGCGGGGGUGCAGGUUGGGUGUCAAAACUAGCGGCUCAACUGGUGAUUGCACUCAAAACUGCAGCUCUUGAGUGAAGUAGGGGCAGGCGGAAUUCCUGGUGUAGCGGUGAAAUGCGUAGAUAUUAGGAGGAACACCAGUGGCGAAGGCGGCCUGCUGGGCUGAUACUGACGCUGAGGCUCGAAAGUGUGGGGAGCAAACAGGAUUAGAUACCCUGGUAGUC